rnacentral:tRNA from 1 species
AGUCUUGUAUUCAAUAAUGAUUUUAGAUUGCAAAUCUAAAGGUAAAGUUUAACUUUUAAGGCUU